AUUGAACGCUGGCGGCAGGCCUAACACAUGCAAGUCGAGCGGAUGAAGGGAGCUUGCUCCUGGAUUCAGCGGCGGACGGGUGAGUAAUGCCUAGGAAUCUGCCUGGUAGUGGGGGAUAACGUCCGGAAACGGGCGCUAAUACCGCAUACGCCCUGAGGGAGAAAGUGGGGGAUCUUCGGACCUCACGCUAUCAGAUGAGCCUAGGUCGGAUUAGCUAGUUGGUGGGGUAAAGGCCUACCAAGGCGACGAUCCGUAACUGGUCUGAGAGGAUGAUCAGUCACACUGGAGCUGAGACACGGUCCAGACUCCUACGGGAGGCAGCAGUGGGGAAUAUUGGACAAUGGGCGAAAGCCUGAUCCAGCCAUGCCGCGUGUGUGAAGAAGGUCUUCGGAUUGUAAAGCACUUUAAGUUGGGAGGAAGGGCAGUAAGUUAAUACCUUGCUGUUUUGACGUUACCAACAGAAUAAGCACCGGCUAACUUCGUG
rnacentral:rRNA from 1 species